rnacentral:rRNA from 1 species
GAUGAACGCUGGCGGCGUGCCUAAUACAUGCAAGUCGAGCGAACAGACGAGGAGCUUGCUCCUCUGACGUUAGCGGCGGACGGGUGAGUAACACGUGGAUAACCUACCUAUAAGACUGGGAUAACUUCGGGAAACCGGAGCUAAUACCGGAUAAUAUAUUGAACCGCAUGGUUCAAUAGUGAAAGACGGUUUUGCUGUCACUUAUAGAUGGAUCCGCGCCGCAUUAGCUAGUUGGUAAGGUAACGGCUUACCAAGGCGACGAUGCGUAGCCGACCUGAGAGGGUGAUCGGCCACACUGGAACUGAGACACGGUCCAGACUCCUACGGGAGGCAGCAGUAGGGAAUCUUCCGCAAUGGGCGAAAGCCUGACGGAGCAACGCCGCGUGAGUGAUGAAGGUCUUCGGAUCGUAAAACUCUGUUAUUAGGGAAGAACAAAUGUGUAAGUAACUAUGCACGUCUUGACGGUACCUAAUCAGGAAGCCACGGCUAACUACGUG